rnacentral:lncRNA from 1 species
UGCCAUGUUGGCCAGACUGGUCUCAAACUCCUAACCUCGAGUCAUCCGCCCGCCUCGGCCUCCCAAAGUGCUGGAACUACAGGCAUGAGCUACUGUGCCUGUCUGAUUUAUAUUUUGAUUAGUUUCCUCAUCUGUACAAUGGGGCUAAUACCACCUUACUCAUAGUUUGUUAUAAAUCUUAAAUUAAAAUAAUGCAUAGACGACCCCUACUUUAGCACCUGGAGCAUUAAUAGACACUUAGAGUUAUCAAUAAACCAGAGACAAAAUAUCAACAUGUUUAACAAAAACUUAUUUCUGACAAAAACUUAUUUUCUUUCUAGCAAACAAAUGUCUUAGGUAUAGUAGCUCAGUGUCAUGGUUUUUUAAAAAAUAUUUUUUGUUUUUAUCAGUGUUACAUAGUGACAAGGAAGUUCACUAGAAAUGGUUUUCUACAUCACUCACUGUUAAAGCUCUCUUUGUCCCAUGUCUUUUCUAUGGCCACUCUGUACUCAUAGUCAACAUACGACUUGUCCAAAUUAGUUUUUUGUUUGUUUGUUUGUUUGUUUUUUUGAGACAGAGUCUCGCUUUGCCAAGCUGGAGUGCAGUGGCGCCAUCUAAAGAAUGGCAAAGCCCACUCUCUGGGUAUGAUGUUUAUGGGUGAGUACAUGACACAGAACGUCUGAAUUCCUAUAUCUGCCUUCUUUGAUGAGGAAAGUGUUCCUUUGGAUGAGUAGCAUGAAAUAAACAUCGUAAAGAACAAACUGAAACCCCAGAGAACCAAAAGAUUGCAGAGGAUCACACGUCUGCUCUGAGUUCAGCCUUCUGGCCUGAAGCCUUCUAUUUCAAGAACUGAGGAAACUGGAGGACACAUGAUCCAGCAUGUUCCUGAAUUCCGAGGAAUCUGAAAACAUGUGAGGCCAG